CAAAUACUGUAACAGUCCUUUGGUAUAAGGGCAGGAUUGUGCAGCUACCACGAGUAUCAGGUAGGGCAGAGAUCCAGAGUCACAAGACUAAUGUAGUGACAUCAAGAAGCAAGACCAGAAGUCGAAUAAAUGAGCAAAGCUGCAGGGACAGGAUCACUGGUAGUAAAGCAGAGACCACGGAACCAGAGCACGGGAUCGGAGGACACAGCAACG